CAUACUUAAUAACUAACUGCCUCCGUUAGAAUUGGGAAAUUGGGUUAGAGAGCAGAUAGAAUUAAUGUUGUGCAGACCGGCGGGUUGGACCUGAACCGGUAGCACCCGCACCGGAAUCAGACCGGACCGAAUGAAUUAGGCAACAGCGGCAGGCCAAGACGAAUUCAAUUUUAAUCUUAUCCAAGAGGGUCAAGACUCCAAGUCUCCAACACGUCAUUGCUAGUCCACUGUCAAAAAAGUUGUAGACUUGUAGGCUUGUAGUCUUGUAAGAAGGGGAGACCAAAGAGGUUAGACAAGGUGCACAUAACAGAUUCUUUGUCUUGCAAUAUGAGCUCCAAAUCCAAAAGACAACGCGAUGCUGUAUACUCCACUGAUCAAACUGAUGAAGCAAUACAAUCAUAUGCAAAUACAAAUACAAUGGUUUUGGAUUUUGAGGAACUAUCCAAAAAGUUACCCCCUGAUAAAAAACUAACGGAAGGACGUCAAUAUGUUGUUAGGAAAACUAAGAGAACAUGUGAGCAUAGGGUACAUUUUGUUGAUUAUUUUGAAAAUUGUUUAUUGCGUUGUGAGUGUAAGUAUUGUGAUAAGACUUUUGCUUGUGAUAGUAAUGUAAAUGGUUCAAAAAAUGUUAAGCUUCAUGUGGGUCAAUGUCUUGCUAAUCCUACGAAUACAAGUAAAAGGAAGGGAAAACAAGCUGAGUUAUUUUUCAACAGGGAGAUAGAGAUAAGUUUGGGGAUGAUUGUGAAGGAAAAUUGAAGUUUAAAACUGUUAAUUUGAAGGAUGUUAGAGAUGCAGUAGCUCAAAUGAUUAUUAUUGAUGAGUGUCCUUUUAGAGUAGUUGAUGAACCUGGAUUUAGACGAUUAAUGUUUGUUGCUUGCUCUAGAUUUCAAAUGCCAUCUCGUACUACUAUUGCUCGUAAUUAUUAUUUAAUGUACAAAAAUGAAAGAGAUAGGUUGAAAGAUUUUCUAAAGACUUGUCAAAGAGUUAGUGUGACUACUGAUACUUGGUCAUCAAUCCAAAGAAUCAAUUAUAUGUGUCUCACCCUUCACUUUAAUGAUAGUGAUUGGAAAUUGCAUAAAAAAAUAAUUAAUUUUUGUCCAAUUUCAAGUCAUAAAGGUGAGACCAUUGGUAAGGUUGUUGAGGCAUGUUUAGAAUUUCGGGAAAUUGAGGACAAACUUUUCACUAUCACUGUUGACAAUGCUAGUUCAAAUGAUGUUACUUGUGUUAACUUGAGAAAAUUAGUUCAACAGAAUAGGGUUAAUUGUAUUGCAGAUGGAAAGUAUGUUCAUACCAGAUGCAUUGCUUAUAUCAUUAAUCUUAUUGUAUGGGAUGACAUUAAAGAACAUGGUGUGUGCAUUGAUAGGAUAAGAAAUGCUGUGAAAUAUAUUAAGAACUCUUGUGCUAGAAUUCAAAGGUUGAAAGAUCUUGUACCUAAAUAUAAUAUUUAGAGCAAAUCAUCGUUGUGUUUUGAUGUUCCUACUUGAUGGAACUCCACUUAUGAUAUGUUGGAUACAUCUAUCAAAUUUGAACCUGUUUUUGGUGGAAUAACUCUACCUAGUGGAGAUAAGGAUUCUGAAAAGCCACCAGAUAGUGAUGAUUGGAAAAAAGCAAAAAAGGUUGGUUGUAUUUUUGAAAGGUUUUUACCUUUUAACUCGUCGAAUAUCUGGCUCUCUUUACGUGACAAGUAGUAAAGGUUUUUUGAGGUUGCUGCUGUUUAUGAUAUGUUGAAAAGAUAGGAGAAAAAUGUUGAUCCAGAAUUUAAAGUUAUGGCAUGUUCAAUGAAAAAAAAGUAUGACAAAUAUUGGGGGAAUAUAUGAAAAUGAAUAUGUUGAUUUAUGUUGCUGCCAUUCUUGAUCCUCAAACUAAAUGGUUGCUCGUUGAGUUUACACUUAUUGAUAUGUAUGGUAAGGAAGAAGGUUCAAUACUUUGUGCUGAUGUGAAGAAGUUCACUCAUUAAUUAUUUGAUGAAUAUAGAACUAAAUACUGUCCUCAGGAUUAUCAACCUAUGCAAACUAGUGAUGAUUCAUCUAUUCCAAUUGAGUUAAGUGAGGAUGAUGGCAUGUUGGGAAGUAAUUACUUGCAAAGCAUAAGAGAGAGAGUAGAGCGGUUGGAAGGAUCAAGCGAGUAUGUUAGGAUCGAGUUAGAUAGGUACUUAACUGAUCCAUUAGGCCCAACAGAAAAAGGUAUGGAUACAUUAGCAUGGUGGGGUCAAUAUGGCAAAGAUAUCUAAUUCUUUCACAUAUGGAUCGUGAUAUAUUAGCUAUUCCAUUGUCUACCGUUGCAUCAGAGUCUGCCUUUAAUGCCGGAGGUCGAGUUCUUGAUCCUUUUAGGAGUUUACUAACUCCUAAGAUUGUACAAGCUCUUGUUUGUUCACAAGAUUGGUCGAACCAAGGGAGGAUUAAGUGUUGAUAUAGAAGAGAAUUUGCGUGAAUUAGAGGAAUUGGAAAAAGGUGAUAUUAUAAUCGUAUUAUUUUUUUUAAUUACAUUUGCAUUUCUAAUAUUUUUAUGUGUUAUGGUUUUAUGGAGAUAUUUGUGAAGAUGAUGUGUAUGAUCAAGUGAUUUACGUGGAUAGCUUGAUUUGAAGCUCACAAAUGUUUCUUUUUGACAAUUGGCAUGAUUAAAUUUAACAUUUUCUUGAAGGAAUGUAUUGAAGGAUAUUAAUGUAUUGGACUUUUAGCUAAUUAAAACUAUUAGAGACUUUUGGCAUUGGAUAUUU